rnacentral:rRNA from 1 species
UACGAAGGGUGCAAGCGUUACUCGGAAUUACUGGGCGUAAAGCGUGCGUAGGUGGUGAGUUAAGUCUGUCGUGAAAGCCCGGCUCAACCUGGAAUGGCGAUGGAUACUGGCUCGCUAGAGUGCGGUAGAGGAGAGUGGAAUUCCGGUGUAGUGGUGAAUGCGUAGAUAUCGGGAGGAACACCAGUGCGAAGGCGGCUCUCGUGGACGGUACUGACGCUGAGACGCGAAAGCGUG